rnacentral:rRNA from 1 species
UACGAAGGGGGAGCUAGCGUUGCUCGGAAUGACUGGGCGUAAAGGGCGCGUAGGCGGAUGGCACAGUCAGAUGUGAAAUUCCCGGGCUUAACCUGGGGGCUGCAUUUGAUACGUGUGAUCUAGAGUGAGGAAGAGGGUCGUGGAAUUCCCAGUGUAGAGGUGAAAUUCGUAGAUAUUGGGAAGAACACCGGUGGCGAAGGCGGCGACCUGGUCCUUGACUGACGCUGAGGCGCGAAAGCGUGGGGAGCAAACAGG